AGAGUUUGAUCCUGGCUCAGGAUGAACGCUGGCGGCGUGCUUAACACAUGCAAGUCGAACGAUGAUCCCAGCUUGCUGGGGGAUUAGUGGCGAACGGGUGAGUAACACGUGAGUAACCUGCCCUUAACUCUGGGAUAAGCCUGGGAAACUGGGCCUAAUACCGGAUAUGACUCCUCAUCGCAUGGUGGGGGGUGGAAAGCUUUAUUGUGGUUUUGGAUGGACUCGCGGCCUAUCAGCUUGUUGGUGAGGUAAUGGCUCACCAAGGCGACGACGGGUAGCCGGCCUGAGAGGGUGACCGGCCACACUGGGACUGAGACACGGCCCAGACUCCUACGGGAGGCAGCAGUGGGGAAUAUUGCACAAUGGGCGAAAGCCUGAUGCAGCGACGCCGCGUGAGGGAUGACGGCCUUCGGGUUGUAAACCUCUUUCAGUAGGGAAGAAGCGAAAGUGACGGUACCUGCAGAAGAAGCGCCGGCUAACUACGUGCCAGCAGCCGCGGUAAUACGUAGGGCGCAAGCGUUAUCCGGAAUUAUUGGGCGUAAAGAGCUCGUAGGCGGUUUGUCGCGUCUGCCGUGAAAGUCCGGGGCUCAACUCCGGAUCUGCGGUGGGUACGGGCAGACUAGAGUGAUGUAGGGGAGACUGGAAUUCCUGGUGUAGCGGUGAAAUGCGCAGAUAUCAGGAGGAACACCGAUGGCGAAGGCAGGUCUCUGGGCAUUAACUGACGCUGAGGAGCGAAAGCAUGGGGAGCGAACAGGAUUAGAUACCCUCGUAGUCC
rnacentral:rRNA from 1 species